ACGGCUGGAAACGGCCGCUAAUACCCCAUAUGCCGAGAGGUGAAAUGAAUUUCGCCUGAGGAUGAGCUCGCGUCUGAUUAGCUAGUUGGUGUGGUAAAGGCUCACCAAGGCAUCGAUCAGUAGCUGGUCUGAGAGGAUGAUCAGCCACACUGGGACUGAGACACGGCCCAGACUCCUACGGGAGGCAGCAGUGGGGAAUUUUCCGCAAUGGGCGCAAGCCUGACGGAGCAACGCCGCGUGAGGGAUGAAGGCCUCUGGGCUGUAAACCUCUUUUAUCAAGGAAGAAGAUCUGACGGUACUUGAUGAAUAAGCCACGGCUAAUUCCGUGCCAGCAGCCGCGGUAAUACGGGAGUGGCAAGCGUUAUCCGGAAUUAUUGGGCGUAAAGCGUCCGCAGGCGGUUUUACAAGUCUGUCGUUAAACCGUGGAGCUCAACUCCAUUUCGGCGAUGGAAACUGUAAGACUAGAGUGUGGUAGGGGCAGAGGGAAUUCCCGGUGUAGCGGUGAAAUGCGUAAAUAUCGGGAAGAACACCAGUGGCGAAGGCGCUCUGCUGGGCCAUAACUGACGCUCAUGGACCAAAGC
rnacentral:rRNA from 1 species